UGUAAAACCACAAGUCUCAAACAGUAGUGCUAUGCACAAAGAGCUUUUGAAAGCCAUUUUCAUUUUAUCUAUCGUCAAGGAGACGCAGCAUAUACCUGUAUGCUGCAUUUCGGCUCGUCUUCUGCUUACAUACUCGAUGAAGCAAGCACACCAUUCGCUUUCUUGGAGCAUUUGAUUCCAGACACCCUCAACUAAUGAAUGUCACAACCAAUGUGUGGUGGGGUUCCACCGAAGAAACUUUAAUGUACACGACUCAAGAUUAUGCGUGUGGUGUUGUAAAGGUGAAGUUAUUAAAUCAAGGUGGUGGGGUUCAUUAUGAACUCCGCGUAAGAAAUCGUUCAGUGGAAUGUCCUGAUAAUCAGUGCAAAAAAUACUACCGUAAGGCUACCUUGAAGUGGCGCCGGAAAACCAUUUACAGCCCAGAAUGCCAACAUAUGCUUGUCACCAAAAGGAGCAAACUUCGUUAAAGCGUUCCUUACAUCAGCCUUAUGUUUCAUGGUAAAUGUCUUACACACAUAAACGUUUCGUAUUACAAACGAAA